GGUGAUUAUAGCUUCCCUUCUCCUUGAAUAACUGGGCAAAGUGGUGUUUGCAGUAAAGAAUUCCAUCCAAAGCAGCAUAGGAUGAUGCUGACAGGAAGCAACCACCAUGAUUACACCUGAAGCAUGACUUGUGAUUGCACAUUUGUCUUGAGUUCCAGAGAACAUGGAGGAGAGCUUGCUAGGGGCCCUGGCCUGAGAAAGUAUGGCAUGAAGGAAUUUUGAGAGAUUGAAUGAAUACAUAUAUGCUAAGUUGAGUAGAGAUUUCCUAGAAGAAAAAGAUAUGAAGAUAAAUGUAAAAGAUUUGGAUGUACCAGUUGAUCUGUUGGUGGCUUUCCAGCUGAUCAGACAUGAUGAAGAAACAUUUAUUAGUAGUUUAUGAUGGAAAUAAGAUCAGUCAAUCUUCAAAGGUGAAAGAGGGUGUUCUUACAUUGAAAUUUCUUGGUGAAACUACCAGUUUCCCUGAAGAGUUGCUCAAAGUGAGGCUUGCAAUACAAGACUCCAUCCAUGGAGGAGUAAUUGCUUAUCUGCAUAAAGAAGAUGUCAUAUGUCAUAUAUCAGAUAAGUGCUUCGUCAUCUCAUUUUAAUCACUACUUUACCCUUAUCUUCUUUUACAUGAAACUUUGUGAAUUUCUCUUAUGAUUUCCAUGUGAAAAAAUUUUCAUGUUGAAUAAUCUUUAUAGUCCCUUAAGGAUCUUUCCUCCCUAAAA